rnacentral:rRNA from 1 species
UAGGGAAUCUUGCGCAAUGGGCGAAAGCCUGACGCAGCCAUGCCGCGUGAAUGAUGAAGGUCUUAGGAUUGUAAAAUUCUUUCAGCGGGGACGAUAAUGACGGUACCCGCAGAAGAAGCUCCGGCUAACUUCGUGCCAGCAGCCGCGGUAAUACGAAGGGGGCUAGCGUUGCUCGGAAUUACUGGGCGUAAAGGGCGCGUAGGCGGAUGUUUAAGUCAGAGGUGAAAGCCCAGGGCUCAACCUUGGAACUGCCUUUGAUACUGAACAUCUUGAGUACGGGAGAGGUGAGUGGAACUCCGAGUGUAGAGGUGAAAUUCGUAGAUAUUCGGAAGAACACCAGUGGCGAAGGCGACUCACUGGCCCGUUACUGACGCUGAGGCGCGAAAGCGUGGGGAGCAAACAGGAUUAGAUACCCUGGUAGUCCACGCUGUAAACGAUGAGUGCUAGUUGUCGGCAUGCAUGCAUGUCGGUGACGCAGCUAACGCGUUAAGCA